AAUAAAUAACUAAGGAUACAGUGCAGAUGAAUAAAUGGGUAUGGUAGAUGAAUAACUUUGUUCAAACUCAUUCUAAUAUUGCAUGUAGUAGAGGACUGUUAAUGCACGAAUUAAACAAGUACGGGUGAGUCUCUGGGGAAGGUGAAGAAUCAAUCUCUAAUCCACGAGCUGAACUUGAAGCCGGACAAUCGACGGGCUGAAAGGCUUGUUGCGAACUGAGAGCAUAGUUGAGGGCGCUACGAGGCGAUGCUGUUUCGAGCUGGUGGUUCUGGUGAGCUGGCUCUUCUGGGCGAGCUGGAUGAUCUUCGAUGAGCGGACUUCUCUCGACGAGCCGACUUGUAUCGAUGAGCUGACUCUUCUGGGCGAGCUGGAUGAUCUUGACGAGGCGACUUCUCUCGACGAGCUGUCUUCUAUCGAUGAGCUGGCUCUUCUGGGCGAACUGGAUGAUCUGGGCGAGCUGACUUGUGCUAUCCUCUCUCCAGGUCCCGAAAAACGUCCCCUUUUUCCCGAGACUUUCUAUUCCUUAUUUAUACCCGUCCGUAUAGUAGGGUACGCAAGGCGAAUUCCCGAGAAUGCCCCUUUUCUACGCAGCCGAACUCACAUCCCGACUAGGCCGGGCUUCGGCCUGCUGGGCCGUUAUUCCUUGAAAUGGGCCGGUUGAUUACUGAGGCCCAAUUGAUGUAUCAACAAGGACUAAAUAUAAAAUACUCCGAAUGGUGGAUUUGUAGAGGAACGUAUACGCAUGAUAAAAU
rnacentral:sRNA from 1 species